rnacentral:rRNA from 1 species
ACGAACGCUGGCGGCGUGCUUCACACCUGCAAGGCGAACGGAAAGGCCCUGCUUUUGUGGGGUGCUCGAGGGGCGAACGGGUGAGUAACACGGGAGUAACCUUCCCUUGACUUUGGGAUAACCUCAGGAAACCGGGGCUAAUACCAGAUUGGAGCUCCUGCCGCCUGGUGGGGGGUGGAAAGUUUCGGCGGGUGGGGAUGGACUCGCGGCUUAUCAGCUUGUUGGUGGGGUAGUGGCUUACCAAGGCUUUGACGGGUAGCCGGCCUGAGAGGGUGACCGGCCACAUUGGGACUGAGAUACGGCCCAGACUCCUACGGGAGGCAGCAGUGGGGAAUAUUGCACAAUGGGCGGAAGCCUGAUGCAGCAACGCCGCGUGCGGGAUGACGGCCUUCGGGUUGUAAACCGCUUUCGCCUGUGACGAAGCGUGAGUGACGGUAAUGGGUAAAGAAGCACCGGCUAACUACGUG